UAGGGAAUCUUCGGCAAUGGGGGGAACCCUGACCGAGCAACGCCGCGUGAGUGAAGAAGGUUUUCGGAUCGUAAAGCUCUGUUGUUAGAGAAGAACAGCGCAUAGAGUAACUGUUAUGCGUGUGACGGUAUCUAACCAGAAAGCCACGGCUAACUACGUGCCAGCAGCCGCGGUAAUACGUAGGUGGCAAGCGUUGUCCGGAUUUAUUGGGCGUAAAGCGAGCGCAGGCGGUCAAUUAAGUCUGAUGUGAAAGCCCCCGGCUCAACCGGGGAGGGUCAUUGGAAACUGGUUGACUUGAGUGCAGAAGAGGAGAGUGGAAUUCCAUGUGUAGCGGUGAAAUGCGUAGAUAUAUGGAGGAACACCAGUGGCGAAGGCGACUCUCUGGUCUGUAACUGACGCUGAGGCUCGAAAGCGUGGGUAGCAAACAGG
rnacentral:rRNA from 1 species